GGGGCCGUUAUGGCUGCCCUCAAGGCUGGCUUCAACACCUUCUCCCACACAAAGGGCAAAGCUGGGGCUCAGUUUCCAGGCUGUAGGCCGCUGGGCCGGUCCUAGGGAUCAGGCGGCACAAGGUGGUUGCGAAGUCAUCCUAUAGAGCUGCAAUUGCGUUAUUAUAGUCGUUAUGCGGGGGAAGUCUAAAACCAGAACCAACUUUUGAAAGCCUUUCAGUUGAUUUGUUCCAGGAUUCCACAGAGUAAACCGUUUGAGGCACUGCUGGACAUUGCUCUGCGUCCCCGGUUCGCGACACAGAGGCCCCGUGGGGUGACUGCUGGGCUGCUGGACCGGCUGCUUCCAAGAGGGCAUGGAUGACUAAACGCACGGCGGUCUCCACGCCCCCUCACCGCCUUAUGGAACCAGGAUGAUGGCUCUUCGGUCCUGAAUGCUGACUCCGUAGCCAAAAUAAUCGCAGGCAGCCACUAGGUUUCCCUGACGAGGACGUGGGAUAUCCCCAACAAUCCUUGCAGCGCGGCCUGCCGGCUCCAUCCCGCGGGGAUCGCCGCCUCCUGGUGGCCAGGCGCGGGAUCGCGGCGGAGAGCCGGGUGCUGGCUGCGCUGUCCCAGGGGCUCCUUCCUGCGCAGGUGUGAGCUCGAAAAGUGCACACGCGUUUCCACACGCAGCCAGGGAAAGCUCUCAGGUGGCUGUGAUGUUACAGAGGGAAGGCAGAAAAGAGGGGAGAGGAAAGGGAGAGGGACAUUCAGCAGAGUCCUUCCUCGACCUGACAGAGAUGGCCGAGAAGCACCAGCUGUGACUGGAUCCCACUGUUCUCCGGACGCAAAGGCCUUAAAUGGUCUGCGAAAGAGGAUUUCCACGGCAAACAAGCAAGAAGUGGUGUUUUCAGGACCCUCUGGGUCCGGCACUUGAGGCUACAUGAACGAAGGAGGAGUAAAUGGAGAAGACAGUAGCUCUCCACGGGGAAGUCAGAAGUCAUUGUCAGCUCGGUGGUGGCCGUGUGACCCCAACCCUCAGGAGCAUUGCAGGUUCUAGCCCAGCCCAGGCAAAUUAGCAACUUAGUGAGACCCUCAAAAUAAUUAAGAAAGCAAGGAAAGAAGAAAAAAAGAAAGAAAGGCAGGCACAGGGCUAUUCUUUGCUGUCUGUGGAAUAAAUC